GCAUCCUUAGCUCAGUUGGUAGAGCAACUGACUCUUAAUCAGUGGGUCCGGAGUUCGAGUCUCCGAGGGUGUACCA
rnacentral:tRNA from 1 species